GAAACCCUAAUCCCAAUUCUGGAAACCGGGGACCGAGCUACACCCCUGAAAGCGUGUUAGCUGUUGAAGGAUGAAGGUCCGUUCGUCAGUGAAGAAGUUGUGUGAGUUUUGUCGGACUGUGAAGCGACGUGGUCGUGUGUAUGUCCUGUGCACUGCUAAUCCCAGGCACAAGCAGCGUCAAGGCGUAUCAACCCUUGCUUAUGAAGGUCCACUUGUGCCAGUGACAAGUUUGAAAGAGAUGACAUCAGCCCAAAAUGGUCUCCCUGCCCUUACGUGAAUGUUGUCUAGUUUUGUCAUUUUAGUCCGUCUGUGAAAAGUUGUCCGCUUUAUUUUUUUACUAUUUUUGGUAAAUGGACCUCAUUUUCCACCAACUCUUUACGGUCACAUUUUAUUUUAAAACUAAUAU